rnacentral:rRNA from 1 species
GGUUAAGCAGUAAAUGUGGAGCCGUAGCGAAAGCGAGUCUGAAUAGGGCGUUUAGUAUUUGGUCGUAGACCCGAAACCAGGUGAUCUACCCUUGGUCAGGUUGAAGUUCAGGUAACACUGAAUGGAGGACCGAACCGACUUACGUUGAAAAGUGAGCGGAUGAACUGAGGGUAGCGGAGAAAUUCCAAUCGAACCUGGAGAUAGCUGGUUCUCUCCGAAAUAGCUUUAGGGCUAGCCUCAAGUGAUGAUUAUUGGAGGUAGAGCACUGUUUGGACGAGGGGCCCCUCUCGGGUUACCGAAUUCAGACAAACUCCGAAUGCCAAUUAAUUUAACUUGGGAGUCAGAACAUGGGUGAUAAGGUCCGUGUUCGAAAGGGAAACAGCCCAGACCACCAGCUAAGGUCCCAAAAUAUAUGUUAAGUGGAAAAGGAUGUGGCGUUGCCCAGACAACUAGGAUGUUGGCUUAGAAGCAGCCAUCAUUUAAAGAGUGCGUAAUAGCUCACUAGUCGAGUGACACUGCGCCGAAAAUGUACCGGGGCUAAACAUAUUACCGAAGCUGUGGAUUGUCCUUUGGACAAUGGUAGGAGAGCGUUCUAAGGGCGUUGAAGCAUGAUCGUAAGGACAUGUGGAGCGCUUAGAAGUGAGAAUGCCGGUGUGAGUAGCGAAAGACGGGUGAGAAUCCCGUCCACCGAUUGACUAAGGUUUCCAGAGGAAGGCUCGUCCGCUCUGGGUUAGUCGGGUCCUAAGCUGAGGCCGACAGGCGUAGGCGAUGGAUAACAGGUUGAUAUUCCUGUACCACCUAUAAUCGUUUUAAUCGAUGGGGGGACGCAGUAGGAUAGGCGAAGCGUGCGAUUGGAUUGCACGUCUAAGCAGUAAGGCUGAGUAUUAGGCAAAUCCGGUACUCGUUAAGGCUGAGC